GGAGUCGGCCAGGCAGUCGCGCUCCCGCGGCCGGCCUGCCGGGCGCGGGAGGGAGGAAAGUCCGGGCUCCACAGGGCAGGGUGCCAGGUAACGCCUGGGGGGCGCGAGCCCACGGAAAGUGCCACAGAAAACAGACCGCCGAGCCUGCUGCACGGCAGGUGGUAAGGGUGAAAAGGUGCGGUAAGAGCGCACCGCGCCGGUGGCAACACGCGGCGGCACGGUAAACCCCACCCGGAGCAAGACCAAAUAGGGGAGCACGCGGCGCGGCGUCACAGCCGCUGCCGCAGCCUGCGGCCCGCAGGCGCUCCCGGGUAGGUCGCAAGAGGCGUGCGGCGACGUACGCCCCAGAUGAAUGACUGCCCGCGACAGAACCCGGCUUAUCGGCCGGCUCCUCCU
rnacentral:RNase_P_RNA from 1 species